rnacentral:rRNA from 1 species
CCCUUCGAUGUUCGGAGCUGCACGCGCGCUACACUGUGGGUGGCAGCAUGUUAGCUUGCCUCGCUCGCAAGAGUGGGGUAAUCGUUUGAAAAUCCCACGUGAUUGGGAUAGGGACUUGUAAUUAUUUCCCUUGAACGAGGAAUCCCUAGUAAGUGCAGGUCAUCAGCUUGCGCUGAUUACGUCCCUGCCCUUUGUACACACCGCCCGUCGCACCUACCGAUUGAAUGGUCCGGUGAAGCCUCGGGAUUGCGAAUGCUUCGUGCGGACGCGAGAACUUGGCUAAACCUUACCAUUUAGAGGAAGGUGAAGUCGUAACA